rnacentral:rRNA from 1 species
AGCUCCAAUAGCGUAUAUUAAAGUUGUUGCAGUUAAAAAGCUCGUAGUUGGAUUUCUGGCAGGGGGCAACAGCCCGCUUGCAGCGUGUGCUUGCCGUCCCCUACCAUCCUUCUGUUAACGCGCCAGGACAUUCACUUGUCGGGCGCGGGCUCAGAUAAUUUACCUUGAGAAAAUUAGAGUGUUUCAGGCAGGCUGACGCCGGGAUACAUUAGCAUGGAAUAAUGGAAUAGGACUUUCGCCUCUUCUGUUGGUCUGAGGGGUGAUCGUAAUGAUUAAUAGGGAUAGUUGGGGGCAUUAGUACUUAACUGUCAGAGGUGAAAUUCUCGGAUUUGUUAAAGACUAACUUAUGCGAAAGCAUUUGCCAAGGAUGUUUUCAUUA